CAAACUAAAGAUGGCGACCGGCGCACGGGUGAGUAACACGUAUCCAACCUGCCGAUAACUCGGGGAUAGCCUUUCGAAAGAAAGAUUAAUAUCCGAUAGCAUAUAUUUCCCGCAUGGGUUUUAUAUUAAAGAAAUUCGGUAUGAGAUGGGGAUGCGUUCCAUUAGUUUGUUGGGGGGUAACGGCCCACCAAGACUACGAUGGAUAGGGGUUCUGAGAGGAAGGUCCCCCACAUUGGAACUGAGACACGGUCCAA
rnacentral:rRNA from 1 species